GGGUCAGUAGGUUGGUCGUGCCACCGGUACGUACUGGUCUCACUGAUUCCUCCUUCCUGAAGAACCGUAAUGCCAUUAAUUUGGUGUUGCGGGGAAACAGGACUGUUACUUUGAAAAGAUUAGAGUGUUUAAAGCAAGCUAACGCUUGGAUACAUUAGCAUGGAAUAAUGAAAUAGGACGAUCGAUCCUAUUUUGUUGGUUUCUAGGAUUGACGUA
rnacentral:rRNA from 1 species